ensembl:lncRNA novel transcript
GCGUCAGCACCAGCAACCUGCUGGGGUCCAGUUCCAGUCUGUGGGAGGUUUGUUCUUUCGCUCUUCUCAGUGACUCUUGCUGUUGCUCACUUUUUGGGGCUGCGCUAAUCUUUAUGAGCUGUAACACUCACUGCGAAGGUCUGCACUUCACUCCUGAAGACAGCGAGACCACGAAGGGAGACCACCGGGAGGGACGAACAACUCUGGAGUGCCAGCUUUAUGAACUGUAACCCUCACCGCGAAGGUCUGCAGCUUCACUCCUGAAGUCAGCGAGACCACAAACCCAGCAGUAGGAAGAAACUCCAGACACGUCUGAACAUCAGAAGGAACAAACUCUGGACACACCAUCUUUAAGAACUGUAACACUCACCACAAGUGUCCGCGGCUUCAUACUUGAAGUCAGUGAGACCAAGAACCCGCCAAUUCCGGACACAGUAGCUGGGAUUACAUGCGCCCGCCACCACACCCAGCUAUCAUUCCUCCCUCUGAAGAAGUACAUGUCACUGCCAUCAGAGUAAGGAUAAGGAUGAAGAUCAAUCUUAACUGCUUCCUGCUGACAGGGGGCACUGUUUUGAGGAAAUGGUAGUCAGAGCUCCCUCAGAGGUCUAUGUAAGGGUCCUUGGCAGAAGGGGCCAGCAUCCAAGGCUUCAACUGCAUGACCAUUUGGAGUGGGAUGGCCUGAAGGCAAGAAGAGACAAACCGGGUUAUUAGAAAACAUGGGGCCAAUAUUUCUGGCUUUCAAACUUCAUUAAAGGCUCAGAGAAAGGAAAAUUCAAGGCUGUUUGUGGAGGGGAAGAGAACAGAGAGCAAAGGUUGCGUAGAUACCAAACCAGAAAGGACUCAUUCCCUACACCAGGAUUGAACCCCAGGCCACCAUUGUAAAAUGGCGGAGGCCAAAACAAAACCAUUGUCACGUGGUUGCAGGCCACACUCCCAAAGAUGUGAAACAAGAUGGAGGCCUGCCACAGAGUUUGCUGCGGACUAUACAGAAAGACAUGGAAAGCACACCAGAUUGGCUACAACUCAAGACCAACCUCAUAAAUCCUUUUUCAUAAUUAAAACUUUACAGAGAAUAUAAA